UUAGCGGCGGACGGGUGAGUAACACGUGGGUAACCUGCCCAUAAGACUGGGAUAACUCCGGGAAACCGGGGCUAAUACCGGAUAAUAUUUUGAACUGCAUGGUUCGAAAUUGAAAGGCGGCUUCGGCUGUCACUUAUGGAUGGACCCGCGUCGCAUUAGCUAGUUGGUGAGGUAACGGCUCACCAAGGCAACGAUGCGUAGCCGACCUGAGAGGGUGAUCGGCCACACUGGGACUGAGACACGGCCCAGACUCCUACGGGAGGCAGCAGUAGGGAAUCUUCCGCAAUGGACGAAAGUCUGACGGAGCAACGCCGCGUGAGUGAUGAAGGCUUUCGGGUCGUAAAACUCUGUUGUUAGGGAAGAACAAGUGCUAGUUGAAUAAGCUGGCACCUUGACGGUACCUAACCAGAAAGCCACGGCUAACUACGUGCCAGCAGCCGCGGUAAUACGUAGGUGGCAAGCGUUAUCCGGAAUUAUUGGGCGUAAAGCGCGCGCAGGUGGUUUCUUAAGU
rnacentral:rRNA from 2 species